rnacentral:rRNA from 1 species
GAUGAACGCUGGCGGCGUGCCUAAUACAUGCAAGUCGAGCGAACGGACGAGAAGCUUGCUUCUCUGAUGUUAGCGGCGGACGGGUGAGUAACACGUGGAUAACCUACCUAUAAGACUGGGAUAACUUCGGGAAACCGGAGCUAAUACCGGAUAAUAUUUUGAACCGCAUGGUUCAAAAGUGAAAGACGGUCUUGCUGUCACUUAUAGAUGGAUCCGCGCUGCAUUAGCUAGUUGGUAAGGUAACGGCUUACCAAGGCAACGAUGCAUAGCCGACCUGAGAGGGUGAUCGGCCACACUGGAACUGAGACACGGUCCAGACUCCUACGGGAGGCAGCAGUAGGGAAUCUUCCGCAAAGGGCGAAAGCCUGACGGAGCAACGCCGCGUGAGUGAUGAAGGUCUUCGGAUCGUAAAACUCUGUUAUUAGGGAAGAACAUAUGUGUAAGUAACUGUGCACAUCUUGACGGUACCUAAUCAGAAAGCCACGGCUAACCACGUG